GCUGGGUCUGGUGGCGUACCCCUGUAAUCCCAGCAGCUUGGGAGGCUGAGGCAGGAGGAUCUCAAGUUCGAAGUCAGCUUCAGCAAAAGCAAGGUGCUAAGUGACUCAGCGAGACUCUGUCUCUA
rnacentral:sRNA from 1 species